GUCCACGCCGUAAACGUUGGGCGCUAGGUGUGGGGGGUAUUCCACUCCCUCCGUGCCGCAGCUAACGCAUUAAGCGCCCCGCCUGGGGAGUACGGCCGCAAGGCUAAAACUCAAAGGAAUUGACGGGGGCCCGCACAAGCGGCGGAGCAUGUGGCUUAAUUCGACGCAACGCGAAGAACCUUACCAAGGCUUGACAUGCAAGGAAAUCUCGUAGAGAUACGGGGUCCGCAAGGGUCUUGCACAGGUGGUGCAUGGCUGUCGU
rnacentral:rRNA from 1 species